UAGGGAAUCUUCGGCAAUGGGGGCAACCCUGACCGAGCAACGCCGCGUGAGUGAGGAAGGUUUUCGGAUCGUAAAGCUCUGUUGUAAGUCAAGAACGAGUGUGAGAGUGGAAAGUUCACACUGUGACGGUAGCUUACCAGAAAGGGACGGCUAACUACGUGCCAGCAGCCGCGGUAAUACGUAGGUCCCGAGCGUUGUCCGGAUUUAUUGGGCGUAAAGCGAGCGCAGGCGGUUUGAUAAGUCUGAAGUUAAAGGCUGUGGCUCAACCAUAGUUCGCUUUGGAAACUGUCAAACUUGAGUGCAGAAGGGGAGAGUGGAAUUCCAUGUGUAGCGGUGAAAUGCGUAGAUAUAUGGAGGAACACCGGUGGCGAAAGCGGCUCUCUGGUCUGUAACUGACGCUGAGGCUCGAAAGCGUGGGGAGCGAACAGGAUUAGAUACCCUGGUAGUCCACGCCGUAAACGAUGAGUGCUAGGUGUUGGAUCCUUUCCGGGAUUCAGUGCCGCAGCUAACGCAUUAAGCACUCCGCCUGGGGAGUACGACCGCNAGGUUG
rnacentral:rRNA from 1 species